UUGGAGGGCAAGUCUGGUGCCAGCAGCCGCGGUAAUUCCAGCUCCAAUAGCGUAUAUUAAAGUUGUUGCAGUUAAAAAGCUCGUAGUUGAAUUUCGGGAUUUGUCGGUUGGUCGGGCUUCACUGUCCGCACUGACCUGAUGGAUUCCUACCUUCUGAAUAACCAGCAUGCUAUUAAGUUAGUGCGUUGGGGAAGCAGAGCUAUUACCUUGAAAAAAUUAGAGUGCUUAAAGCAGGCUUGUGCUUGAAUAGAUUAGCAUGGAAUAAUAAAAUAGGACGGCAUGGUUCUAUUUUGUUGGUUUCUAGGAUCACCGUAAUGAUUAAUAGGGAUAGUUGGGGGCAUUAGUAUUCAAUUGUCAGAGGUGAAAUUCUUGGAUUUAUUGAAGACUAACUUCUGCGAAAGCAUUUGCCAAGGAUGUUUUCAUUAAUCAAGAACGAAAGUUAGGGGAUCGAAGACGAUCAGAUACCGUCGUAGUCUUAACCAUAAACUAUGCCGACUAGGGAUCGGACGAUGUUAAUUUUUUAAUGACUCGUUCGGCGCCUUACGGGAAAC
rnacentral:rRNA from 1 species